UACGGUGGGGGGCAAGCGUUGUCCGGAAUUAUUGGGCGUAAAGCGCGCGCAGGCGGUCUUCCAAGUCAGUGGUGAAAGCCCGGAGCUCAACUCCGGAACUGCCAUUGAAACUGUUAGACUUGAGGAUGAGAGAGGUGAGUGGAAUUCCCAGUGUAGAGGUGAAAUUCGUAGAUAUUGGGAAGAACACCGGUGGCGAAGGCGGCUCACUGGCUCAUUACUGACGCUCAGGCGCGAUAGCGUGGGGAUCAAACAGG
rnacentral:rRNA from 1 species